CCUACGGGAGGCAGCAGUGGGGAAUAUUGCACAAUGGGGGGAACCCUGAUGCAGCAACGCCGCGUGGGUGAAGAAGUACUCCGGUAUGUAAAGAUCUGUCAGUGGGGACGAAACUUGACGGUACCCACAGAGGAAGCACCGGCUAACUCCGUGCCAGCAGCCGCGGUAAUACGGGGGGUGCAAGCGUUGUCCGGAAUCAUUGGGCGUAAAGAGUUCGUAGGCGGCACGUAAAGUCUGGUGUUAAAGGCAGAGGCUCAACUUCUGUACGGCACUGGAUACUUGCGAGCUAGAAUGCGGUAGAGGUAAAGGGAAUGCCUGGUGUAGCGGUGAAAUGCUUAGAUAUCAGGAGGAACAUCGGUGGCGUAAGCGCUUUACUGGGCCGUAAUUGACGCUGAGGAACGAAAGCCAGGGUAGCAAAUGGGAUUAGAUACCCCUGUAGUC
rnacentral:rRNA from 1 species